rnacentral:lncRNA from 1 species
ACCAGACCAAGGUUCUACAGCUGUCCUCCUAGACCAGACCAAGGUUCUACAUCUGUCCUCCUAGACCAGACCAAAAUUCUGCAUCUGUCCUCCCAGACCAGACCAAGGUUCUACAUCUGUCCUCCCAGACCAAGGUUCUGCAUCUGUCCUCCCAGACCAAGGUUCUGCAUCUGUCCUCCCAGACCAAGGUUCUGCAUCUGUCCUCCCAGACCAAGGUUCUGCAUCUGUCCUCCUAGACAAGACCAAGGCUCUACAUCUGUCCUCCUAGACCAGACCAAGGUUCUACAUCUGUCCUCCUAGACCAGACCAAGGUUCCGUAUCUGUCCUCCUAGACCAGACCAAGGUUCUGCAUCUGUCCUCCUAGACCAGACCAAGGUUCUGCAUCUGUCCUCCCAGACCAGACCAAGGUUCUACAUCUGUCCUCCUAGACCAGACCAAGGCUCUACAUCUGUCCUGCUAGACCAGACCAAGGUUCUGCAUCUGUCCUCCCAGACCAAGGUUCUACAUCUGUCCUCCUAGACAAGACCAAGGAUCUGGUCUCCAAGACCUUAGUGCUACUUUUGAACCAUCGAUCACCACAUUCUUCUGGAGAGAUUAGAAACUCUAAUUGGUCUACAUGGACAAGUUCUUGCCUGGUUAAGAUCUGUCAGAAAGACAUCAGUUAGUCUCUGUGGAUGGUUUGUC